rnacentral:misc_RNA from 1 species
AUUGAGUACAUAAUCAAGUGAAAAGGGAUACUUUCGAAAAAGCUACAUCAUCCUAUCUGAAAAUCACCACCCCCUCCCCAAAACACAUAUGGGGGGAGAAAAGGUGAAAUCAGAUGAUAAAAAAUAACAAGUCUAUAACACAACUAUAUCACGGAACGAACGAUCACGACAGAACCACCAGAUACAUAGUAGUUAACUUGAAAUAUAAAGAGUCAAACUCACCCAUUGCAAGUAUAAAACCCAGAUUGACACCUUUGUGAUGGCAUUGAGGUAUUACCUUUGCGAUAAUUCUCAUGCUCAACUCAGUGAGCAGUAUUCUCUCAUAAAACUGUUGGUUUGAUUUGAGUACACAUCUUUCUUCAUGUGAGGUUGUCAGGAAAAGAUCAGAUGCGUUUUUGGUUCCAUAUCUCAUGCUUUCCAAACUCGGACUGUGCUAUCUACAGAAGAAGUUAUCAUGCAGUUUUCUUUUGGGUGAUAACUUACGCUAGUUACCACUAAAUCAUGCGCUCGGAAGCUGGAUACAACUGACGCAUCGACCAGAUCCCAGAAGUAGAUAUAGCCAUCUUCUGAGCCGCCAGCAACAUGGGCAUCACUGUUUGUAAGACAGCAGUCCGUUUUGAAAGACUUGCAAAUAUGGCCCUUAUAUUCUUGCAAUAGUUCACCACUAGACCUGUCCAGAAGUCGAAGGGUUGAAUCCAGGCAACUUGCUAAUAUACAGUUGCCAUCAUUUGAAAGAGAGAUACAGUUGACAGGCUGACCCAAAUUAUCAGAUAUCUCUCUACCAACUCUGAUGUCAAAUGUUCGAACUGUUCCAUCAACACUUCCAGCAAUUAUCUCAGUUUUUGUGAGACAAAUUGACAUCACACUAUCUAGAAA